CAAGUCGAGCGGACGGAUGGGAGCUUGCUCCCUGAAGUCAGCGGCGGACGCGUGAGUAACACGUGGGCAACCUGCCUGUAAGACUGGGAUAACCUCGGGAAACCGGAGCUAAUACCGGAUAAUGCACAGCCUCUCAUGAGGCUAUGCUGAAAGAUGGUUUCGGCUAUCACUUACAGAUGGGCCCGCGGCGCAUUAGCUAGUUGGUGAGGUAACGGCUCACCAAGGCAACGAUGCGUAGCCGACCUGAGAGGGUGAUCGGCCACACUGGGACUGAGACACGGCCCAGACUCCUACGGGAGGCAGCAGUAGGGAAUCUUCCGCAAUGGACGAAAGUCUGACGGAGCAACGCCGCGUGAGUGAUGAAGGUUUUCGGAUCGUAAAACUCUGUUGUCAGGGAAGAACAAGUGCCGGAGUAACUGCCGGCACCUUGACGGUACCUGACCAGAAAGCCACGGCUAACUACGUGCCAGCAGCCGCGGUAAUACGUAGGUGGCAAGCGUUGUCCGGAAUUAUUGGGCGUAAAGCGCGCGCAGGCGGUCUCUUAAGUCUGAUGUGAAAGCCCACGGCUCAACCGUGGAGGGUCAUUGG
rnacentral:rRNA from 1 species